UACGUAGGGUGCAAGCGUUAAUCGGAAUUACUGGGCGUAAAGCGUGCGCAGGCGGUUUUGUAAGUUUGUCGUGAAAUCCCCCGGGCUCAACCUGGGAAUGGCGAUGAAGACUGCAAGGCUAGAAUCUGGCAGAGGGGGGGUAGAAUUCCACGUGUAGCAGUGAAAUGCGUAGAGAUGUGGAGGAACACCGAUGGCGAAGGCAGCCCCCUGGGUCAAGAUUGACGCUCAUGCACGAAAGCG
rnacentral:rRNA from 1 species